UCGUAAUGUAGAUUAAGCGCUAAUUAGUGGAAUUGGCACGUGUCUUUACAGAGCGGGCCAGAACUUUCUGCUUUCUGGCUUCUGUUGUACAAACAUUGCAGUAAGAGGGAGAUUUACUCAGAAAUGCCGGACCAGGGAAAUAUCUGCUGUGUGACUGGCAAUAUAUUGUAGUUAAUGGAGUUUUAUUAUAUUUUAUUACGACAUAAUGAAGUGUGCUUAAUUUCUGCUCCUGACUGUUAUGCUAGGCUGAGAAUACGGAGUCUAUAGCACCGACAGGAAGUCGUGGUUUUCUUUGCCCUGCAUUGAAGGCGAGUAGAGACAUGAGUCUGCCAGAAGUGUGCAGGAGUAGAGGGUGUAGGUUUAAUUGUCAUAUUGCAGAUGGUUGGAGAACCUGGGAUUGGCCUGGCUGUCGGGUCCGUCACCUCCGCACUCAACGUGGGUUCGGAGCUCGCUGGCUCCCAUGCGUCUGGCCCAGCCUUUUUCCAUGCCCACCGUGCCUGAGUGAAUACGCGUACAUGUAGCUGAUUGGCAGUUCCGGGCAGACCUACGGAGCACGAUUUGGCUCGCUGCGAUGCGGAGGGCUGUAAUUAUGUCAGCCUGAAGCGGGGGGACACACGGGAAACCGCAGGGGCUCGCGUAUGUGAUGAAUACUCCCUUUCUGCUCGAAAUUAGUAGCUCCAUAACCAUUAGCACUCAAUUUGACAAACAGUUUAACUGGUAUAUAAUUAUAGCUCAGCAUUAGCUGUCAGCUACUCCGGCACUGUGCCUGUUGUAAGGAUUGAUGUUCAGUUUAAAAAAUAAAUAAAUUUUGAUUUACAGAUA